rnacentral:lncRNA from 1 species
CUCUUCCAGUUGUGACGACAUCUUUUCCACGACGCUGGAUCGGCUGGAUCAUGGCCUUGAUAACUUUUUGCCCGCGAUCAACCACGAUGGGUUGGCUCCGCAAAUCAAUUUAUGGUUGGAUGGUUAGAGACACAGUGGUAUCUUCAGCCCAUCAGGGUUCAAAUCCUGAUGCUUGCAUUAUUUUUGAAUUUAUUUUAGGAUUUUCGGUGACACACUUUCAGUGGAAAAAAACGUUCCAUCGACGACGAGGUGUCUAUGAUGAAUUCGUAAAUCAUAAGAUGAUAUGCCGGCUCAGUCUCUUGAAGAUGUUCAUAGAUAUAGG